rnacentral:rRNA from 1 species
GAUGAACGCUGGCGGCGUGCCUAAUACAUGCAAGUCGAGCGAACGGACGAGAAGCUUGCUUUUCUGAUGUUAGCGGCGGACGGGUGAGUAACACGUGGAUAACCUACCUAUAAGACUGGGAUAACUUCGGGAAACCGGAGCUAAUACCGGAUAAUAUUUUGAACCGCAUGGUUCAAAAGUGAAAGACGGUCUUGCUGUCACUUAUAGAUGGAUCCGCGCUGCAUUAGCUAGUUGGUAAGGUAACGGCUUACCAAGGCAACGAUGCAUAGCCGACCUGAGAGGGUGCUCAGCCACACUGGAACUGAGACACGGUCCAGACUCCUACGGGAGGCAGCAGUAGGGAAUCUUCCGCAAUGGGCGAAAGCCUGACGGAGCAACGCCGCGUGAGUGAUGAAGGUCUUCGGAUCGUAAAACUCUGUUAUUAGGGAAGAACAUAUGUGUAAGUAACUGUGCACAUCUUGACGGUACCUAAUCAGAAAGCCACGGCUAACUACGUG